rnacentral:rRNA from 1 species
AGUGAACGCUGGCGGUAGGCCUAACACAUGCAAGUCGAACGGCAGCACAGUAAGAGCUUGCUCUUACGGGUGGCGAGUGGCGGACGGGUGAGGAAUACAUCGGAAUCUACUUUUUCGUGGGGGAUAACGUAGGGAAACUUACGCUAAUACCGCAUACGACCUACGGGUGAAAGCAGGGGAUCUUCGGACCUUGCGCGAUUGAAUGAGCCGAUGUCGGAUUAGCUAGUUGGCGGGGUAAAGGCCCACCAAGGCGACGAUCCGUAGCUGGUCUGAGAGGAUGGUCAGCCACACUGGAUCUGAGAAACGGCCCAGACUCCUACGGGAGGACGCAGUGGGGAAUAUUGGACAAUGGGCGCAAGCCUGAUCCAGCCAUACCGCGUGGGUGCAGAAGGCCUUCGGGUUGUAAAGCCCUUUUGUUGGGAAAGAAAAGCAGCAGGUUAAUACCCCGCUGUUCUGACGGUACCCAAAGAAUAAGCACCGGCUAACUUCGUG